rnacentral:lncRNA from 7 species
GAAAGAAGAAGAAGGCCUUUCCCCCAGAAAACAUGGAAGAAACAGAAGCUGAUAACAUGAAGCAAAAACAGCGUUUUCCAGCAACUCGGUUGCAAUGAAUUGUGCUUGGGAACAGACAGAUCCGGUUAGAAGUAACUGUACCCUAUAAUGUCACCCAGCAAGUUGUCCUGGGUCACCCCACUUGAGAAUUUCAGGUUAGCCUUUUUAAAGUUUCUAGUUCUAAGGAAAAUCACUCUUUUCAACGGAUGUCUCAUCAGAACAUAAAAUCACAACCUCAUUGUGAAAUAAGAUAGGCGUGUAUGUGUGUGUGAAUAAAUACUAUAAAGAGAGAUUUCAAAUA